rnacentral:rRNA from 1 species
UACGUAGGGGGCAAGCGUUGUCCGGAUUUAUUGGGCGUAAAGAGCGUGUAGGCGGCUUGGAAGGUCAGCUGUGAAAACUCGAGGCUCAACCUCGAGACGUCGGUUGAAACCACCUGGCUAGAGUCCGGAAGAGGAGUGUGGAAUUCCCGGUGUAGCGGUGAAAUGCGCAGAUAUCGGGAAGAACACCCGUGGCGAAGGCGGGUCUCUGGACAGUUCCUGACGCUGAGGCACGAAGGCCAGGGGAGCAAACGGG